GACGGAGGGUGCAAACGUUGUUCGGAAUUACUGGGCGUAAAGAGCGUGUAGGCGGUCCGGCAAGUCGGAUGUGAAAUCCCUCGGCUCAACCGAGCGAACUGCAUUCGAUACUACCGGACUGGAGUUCGGGAGAGGGAAGUGGAAUUCCCGGUGUAGAGGUGAAAUUCGUAGAUAUCGGGAGGAACACCGGUGGCGAAGGCGGCUUCCUGGACCGAUACUGACGCUGAGACGCGAAAGCGUGGGGAGCAAACAGG
rnacentral:rRNA from 1 species